rnacentral:rRNA from 1 species
UACGUAGGGUGCGAGCGUUGUCCGGAAUUAUUGGGCGUAAAGAGCUCGUAGGCGGUGUGUCGCGUCGGCCGUGAAAACCUGCAGCUUAACUGUGGGCGUGCGGUCGAUACGGGCAUCACUGGAGUCCGGAAGAGGAGUGUGGAAUUCCUGGUGUAGCGGUGAAAUGCGCAGAUAUCGAGAGGAACACCUGCGGCGAAGGCGGGUAGCUGGGCCGACACUGACGCUGAGGCGCGAAAGCCAGGGGAGCGAACGGG